rnacentral:rRNA from 1 species
GACGAACGCUGGCGGCGUGCCUAAUACAUGCAAGUCGAACGCACGAAGUUGAAGAGCUUGCUCUUUAACCAAGUGAGUGGCGGACGGGUGAGUAACACGUGGGUAACCUGCCCAUUAGAGGGGGAUAACAUUCGGAAACGGAUGCUAAUACCGCAUAGUUUCAGGAAUCGCAUGAUUCUUGAAGGAAAGGUGGCUUCGGCUACCACUAAUGGAUGGACCCGCGGCGUAUUAGCUAGUUGGUGAGGUAAUGGCUCACCAAGGCAAUGAUACGUAGCCGACCUGAGAGGGUGAUCGGCCACACUGGGACUGAGACACGGCCCAGACUCCUACGGGAGGCAGCAGUAGGGAAUCUUCCGCAAUGGACGAAAGUCUGACGGAGCAACGCCGCGUGAGUGAAGAAGGUUUUCGGAUCGUAAAACUCUGUUGUUAAAGAAGAACAAGGAUGAGAGUAGCUGCUCAUCCCCUGACGGUAUUUAACCAGAAAGCCACGGCUAACUACGUGCCAGCAGCCGCGGUAAUACGUAGGUGGCAAGCGUUGUCCGGAUUUAUUGGGCGUAAAGCGAGCGCAGGCGGUUCUUUAAGUCUGAUGUGAAAGCCCCCGGCUCAACCGGGGAGGGUCAUUGGAAACUGGAGAACUUGAGUGCAGAAGAGGAGAGUGGAAUUCCACGUGUAGCGGUGAAAUGCGUAGAUAUGUGGAGGAACACCAGUGGCGAAGGCGACUCUCUGGUCUGUAACUGACGCUGAGGCUCGAAAGCGUGGGGAGCAAACAGG